rnacentral:piRNA from 1 species
UGAGUGUCACUCCUGGAUCUGAGUCAACACC